AGCGAACGCUGGCGGCAGGCUUAACACAUGCAAGUCGAGCGGGCAUCUUCGGAUGUCAGCGGCAGACGGGUGAGUAACACGUGGGAACGUACCCUUCGGUUCGGAACAACUCUGGGAAACUGGAGCUAAUACCGGAUACGCCCUUAUGGGGAAAGGUUUACUGCCGAAGGAUCGGCCCGCGUCUGAUUCGCUAGUUGGUGGGGUAACGGCCUACCAAGGCGACGAGCAGUAGCUGGUCUGAGAGGAUGAUCAGCCACACUGGGACUGAGACACGGCCCAGACUCCUACGGGAGGCAGCAGUGGGGAAUAUUGGACAAUGGGCGCAAGCCUGAUCCAGCCAUGCCGCGUGAGUGAUGAAGGCCUUAGGGUUGUAAAGCUCUUUUGUCCGGGACGAUAAUGACGGUACCGGAAGAAUAAGCCCCGGCUAACUUCGUG
rnacentral:rRNA from 1 species